rnacentral:rRNA from 1 species
UACAGAGGUCUCAAGCGUUGUUCGGAUUCAUUGGGCGUAAAGGGUGUGUAGGUGGCGCCGUAAGUCGGGUGUGAAAUUUCGGAGCUUAACUCCGAAACUGCAUUCGAUACUGCGGUGCUUGAGGACUGGAGAGGAGACUGGAAUUCAUGGUGUAGCAGUGAAAUGCGUAGAGAUCAUGAGGAAGACCAGUGGCGAAGGCGGGUCUCUGGACAGUUCCUGACACUGAGACGCGAAGGCGUGGGGAGCGAACGGG